rnacentral:lncRNA from 10 species
CAUAAAUCCCACAACACAGCCACAAUAAAUAGAGCACCAGGAAGAGCGCUGAGGCCUCCAUCUCAGGCCUUAGCUCCUAGAAGACAUUUCUAGACACAUCCUGGGCUAGAAGGAGACCUACUGCCUUGAAGGGAAGGACCUGUUUUUGGCAGGAUUCUUCACCUGCUGACUAAAGAGCCCUUGAUAUCCACAUACAAAAUAAUGAAACUAGACCUGUAUCUCUCACCAUACACAUGGAUUAAAUGAAAAUGGAUUGAAGAAUUAAAUGUAAGACCUCAAACUAUGGAACUACUACAGGAAAACACUGGGGAAACUCCCUAGGACAUUGGACUGGGUAAAGAUUUCUUGAGAAAAAUACCUCCAAAACAUAGGCAACCAAAGCAAAAAUGGACAAGUGGGAUCAUGCCAAGUUAAAAAGCUGCAAAGCAAAGAAACAACAAAGUGAAGAGACAACCCAGAGAAUAAGAGAAAAUAUUUGCAAACUAUCUACCUGACAAGGGAUUAAUAACCAGAAUAUAUAAGGAACUCGAACUACUCAACAGGAAAAAAUAUAAUAAUCCCAUUAAAAAUGGGUAAAAUAUCUGAAUACACAUUUCUCAAAAGAAGGCAUACACAUGGCAAACAGGUAUAUGAAAAAGUUCUCAUCAUCAUAGGAGGCAGGCCUCACAAGAAACCAAUUUCUGUUGUUUAACAUACCCAGUCUGUGAUUUUUUAAAUGACGGUCCUGUAAAGGAAUACAUCCACUGUUGGCAAAUUUUUCGUCUAGGAGAGGAUUAGUCGUUAAGCAAGAGAGCAAACACGCAUAUAACAGGCAUUGCAAGAUAAGUAAACAUUUACGCAGCAUUUUCAGAACAUAUUGGGAAAAUAAAAGUCUUCCUAGCAUAAUAUUUGUAAAGAAUCCUCUUAAGGAGAACGUUGAGCAAUCACAUAGCAAAGCGUGUCUUCACCUACUUUCUGUAUGAUAAUAAGGGCCCUGACAAACAAAAAAGCAACAUUAAUUACAACUGAUACAAGAGUACCCCUGGCAUCUCCCAAGUGUGUUACCUGUUAUCCUUUAGUUAUUGCUAGAACUGGUGAGAACUACUAAGCAUGGCUAAAAAGAUGUUGUCUGAU